UGUAACUUCAGGAACUCAAAAGUGAGCUAAGGCUGUAAGUAAGCAAGCAGCUGCCUGGCAGGAAGGGUGCGUGUUACAUUUCAACACUGGUGUCUGAGCACAGGAACACAGAAAGCUGCAGAUCAAUGGUCAAUCUUGCUCAGUAUUGUCUACAUUGAAUGACAGUGACUUUCCAGGGGUUCAGGCAGGGGACACUCCAAGCCCUGCCUGGAAGUACCGAGGACCAGCUCUGAGACCUUCUGCCUGCAAAACAGAUGCUCCACCGGAGAAAUCCUAACAUUUUAUUUUUUUAAUGCUUAUGAUUUUUU